rnacentral:lncRNA from 1 species
AACAACACUCCCUAGUCCCAAUAUACAAAUCAAGAUCCAUUAAAAUUCAACCGUAGAAAUUCAAAAUUUAUUCAAGAUUCAGAAUCCCCAUUGCGAAAGCUAAAAGGAGCACCUACCAAUGUUACGAAUAGAGUUCCGGAAUCGCAAUUUCAUCCAAAGUCACAAAUUUGAGGUAUGUGGGUGUUGAACAAGAAUAAUCCUUUUGUUCUUGUGCCCAAAACUUAAUUUUUAUUUCAAGAUAUGUAUUUGAUUUUUUUUACAUGGUAUUUAUGGAAUUGAUAUUGAAUAUAUAUAUACCAAGUUACUAUUUAUGAGAUUAUGGGAUUAUGAGUUAUUUAAGAUGUGAUUUUCAUGACCUUGUAUUUACUAUGAAUUGAAUUGAAAAUUUAUAUCAUGAGUUAUAUCCUUUAUUUAUGAAUUGAUAUUUUUGAAUAAUUUCAAGAAUGAUAUUGAGUUUGAAUUGUUAUUGAGAAUGGUUAUGAGAUUUGAAUCUUGAAUUUGAGUCUAAAUAUUUGGUAUUGAGAUUUUUAAGCCUAUGUUCUUGAAAACAAUGAACUAUUGCAUUUAUGUCAAGAAUGAGUUCGGAUUUUGAUAAAGAUAUGAUUUUGAGAAGAUUUGAGUCAAGAAUGAUAUUGUGAUUUUGAGUUGAAAAUAGGAAUCCACAAUUUAUUUUGAGUCAAUUAUGAAAAAUAUGAUUUGGCCUUCAUUGUAGGUCCUUGAGAUUAUUUUGAGGUGGAUUUCCUAAAUGAGACUGAGCUUGAGUACAGGAGUAGUAUUUAGCACCGAGCGGGAGGUGUGGGUGAGCGUACCCUACUUCCCCAGAACUACGUGCCACCGUAGGAUUGAGAUUUCUGGGCCUAAGGCCAAGUUUGUGAUCACUGAGUUAAGGUUAUACUCCCUGGCAAGAGUAUGACGCUCCUUCCCAACGUGGGGUUUCUUCCUUAGAAGGACAAAACGUUGGACUCCAUGAUAAGCUCACAUGAUUUAUGUCGGUUAAAAGAAACUCCCGAAGUUGUGCCUUACUCUGAAUUAAGUUAAAAGUAUGAGUUUUGGAAAUAUUGUUUACAGAUUUCUUUAGCCUUCGAGUUUUGAGAAUAAAAGAAGAAAUUCGGAUUUUUGAGUUAAGAAUAAUGACUCACGAGAGUUAUGGUACAAGUUUCAUUAUUCAUGAUUUAUGAUGUUUAUUUUUCAGAAUUUUAAUUCAAGUUAACUGAGUCAUUUAUACCAGCAUGCAUAAUUUUAUAAACUGUGAUGAUAUUAAAAUAUUAUUUUAUAUAUGCAUUGCACCCCCAUAUGCUCGGUACAUUUCCAUGGUACUGACCCAUAUAUUCGUUUGUGGGUUACAUUUUCUCGAAAUAUAGGUACAAGGUAGAGUAUGCACCUUCAGAUCCAGUCAGUUCACGACAUCCAGUCAGCAGGUGAUGAGUCCUUUUUGAUUCAAGGGCUUAAGUCAGUUAUAUUGUUAAAGAAGUAUCGUAUUUUCUUUAUUUUUCCUAUUUCAAUUGUAUUGAGUUAGGAUAGUUGGGAGUCAUGACCCG